AGAACCCACAUUCUAUCUCCAGAAUAAAGAAGCUCCUGCUCUUUAACUCCAGUUCCAAGGAAUCUGACACCCUCUUCUGGCCUCAGGGAGCAAUGCACAAACAUGGUGCACAGAUAUACACGAAGAACUCCUACCAGCAACAUUGAAAAAUUACUCCCAGGCCAGCUAGAAUGGAGCACAAGAACAACAACAGGAAUGAGCCUGCCUCAGAACAAGGUUAAAAGAAAAUCAGCUCCCAAGACACUGUCCUUUAAGCUUCACAUUCGUGCCCUGAUGCAAGUACACCCCCUUCUCAAGACCAGACUGGCUUGGACUAUAUAGCCAUACUUUAUCUCAAAUAAAUACUAGAUAGAUGUGUAAUAGUGAAUUCUAGGUCAGCCAGAACCACUUAGACUCUAUCUUGAAAAACAACAAAAAUAUCUUUCUGGGUCUUGCUGUGUAGCCCAAACAAGCCUAAAGGCUAGUGGCAAGGUUCAGCAAGGGUGUGAUUUGAAUUCACAUUACUGAGUGGGAGGAAAAAAAAGUAGGGGCCAGGUCCAAUCCCCAGAACCCAUGUACAUGUAAAAAGAGAAACCAACUCCCAAAAGUCCAUGUGUAUACCUUUGCCUUCCAAGACAGUAACUUCAACAGGUGGCUGAAGAGAUCGUUCAGUAGUCAAGAGCACUUGUUGCUCUUGUAGAGGACCUGGGCUUGGUUCCAAGUACCUACAUGAUGACUGACAUCUUUCAUAAUACCAGUUCCAGGGGAUCCAAACCCCCUUUUUGGUUUCCUCUGCCACCAGGCAUGCACAUGGUACACAUACAUACAGGUAAAACAUUAAUAUUCAUGUAAGAAUUUUACAAAUUAGGGGCUCAGUGAGUAAACAUAUUUGCCACUAAACCUGACAUGAAUUUGAUGCCGAAACUCACAAAGUAGAAGGCGAAUAAGGGUCUCUAUUUCAGUUGGUAGAGUGCUUGCCCAACAUUUGUGAAGCCUUGGGUUCAGUUCUUAGUGUCAUUUUAAAACAGAUGUGAUGGCGUACACCAUCAUUCUGGAGGAGGUGGCAGGAAGAUAAAAAGUUCAGGGUUAUCUAGCAACUCUUGAGACUUGCAUGGGCUAUAUGAAAUUCUGCUAAAAAAAAAAAAUAACUAGCCCAGUUGGUAGUGUGUUUGCAUUGUGGCACAAAGUCUUUGGUUGGCUGUCAGCAUUACAUAAAACUUGCUAUGAAAGAUAAUAAUCCCAGUACCUGAAGAUUGAGGAAAGAUGAUCUCAUGAGGCAACUCUGGUCUAUAUAGUGAAUUCCCAACCAAUUAGGUAUAUACGGUGAGACCCUUCUCAAAACACACACACACACACACACACACACAAUACCACAAAAACAUGGAGGGGGUUGUGUGUGUUUCAGUUGGUAGUGUGCUUGCUUCAACUGGAAGUGAUAAUCCUAACACCAGGGAGGUAGACACAGGAGGAUCAGUGUUCAGGGUUAUUCUUGACCACAUCACAAGUUUGAGGACAGCCUGAACUUAAAAUAAACCCUGAGAACUGUGAUUCUGUAAUUCUAGUACUUAGGAGUUCAAGGCUAGCCUGGGCUGUAUAGUUUCUGGCCAGAAUUGGCUAAGGUAACAAAAUACCUGUAAUCCCAGCAAAUGGGAGGUAGAGCUUUGAGGAUCAGGAGUUAAGCGUUAUCUGAGCUUCCCAGUGAGUAGAGACCAACCUGGGUUGUAUGGGAUCUUGUUUCAGCUCUACUCAAAACCAACAACAAAAGAUGCCAGGGGGUGACAGUAGUCCACAAGCCAGCUUUCAUGGUCUUUUGCAAACAGCACAGAUGAUUGAUCAAGAUGGUGGCUGUUUGCCUUGGAGGAUAGUCCUGUACAGAGUCAAUGUAUAUGGGGCUGGAGAAGGCAGCUUAAUGGUUAAGAGAACCUCCUGUCUCUCCAGAGGACCCCAGUUCUGUUCCCUGCACCCACAUGGCAGCUCACACACCUGCCUUUAGCUCCAGUGUCAGAGGAUCUGAUGCCCUCUUCUGGCUUCCUUUGGGCCUAAGGCAUUUCUGUGGUGCACAAACAUGUAGGCAGGCAAAACAUACAUAAAAGAGAAAAAUAGAAGAAACAUGAGCAUAUAUCUUUAAUGUCUAAAUAUAUCUGUAAUAUAUUUUCUUCAUAUAUAUAAUGCUUAUAAUGACAUUUAAUAUUGUUAACAUUGCUUUAUACUUGUGUUUUUUUCAAUGUUGGAUUAGACCCAGGGCCUAUACCAGGCUAGGCCAGUGCUCUGAGUUCUAUCCUUAGAUAACUAUUUUACAUCUAACUAUUGAUAUUAUGAAAUUCUUACUCAGAAGUAAAAAAGAUAUUUAUCUGUUUCAUUUUAAAA